GUGAGGAAUAUUGGUCAAUGGGCGAGAGCCUGAACCAGCCAAGUCGCGUGAAGGAAGAAGGAUCUAUGGUUCGUAAACUUCUUUUGCAGGGGAAUAAAGUGCAGGACGUGUCCUGUUUUGUAUGUACCCUGAGAAUAAGGAUCGGCUAACUCCGUGCCAGCAGCCGCGGUAAUACGGAGGAUCCGAGCGUUAUCCGGAUUUAUUGGGUUUAAAGGGUGCGUAGGUGGUUUGAUAAGUCAGCGGUGAAAGUUUGCAGCUUAACUGUAAAAAUGCCGUUGAAACUGUCGGACUUGAGUGUAAAUGAGGUAGGCGGAAUGCGUGGUGUAGCGGUGAAAUGCAUAGAUAUCACGCAGAACUCCGAUUGCGAAGGCAGCUUACUAAGCUACAACUGACACUGAAGCACGAAAGCGUGGGGAUCAAACAGG
rnacentral:rRNA from 1 species